UUAGAUUGGCUAUAGAUGAAUUGGAGCUAGUAGUUGGCUAUACUAUUGAACUUGCUCUUAUUAAUACAGCCAACUACUAGCUCCAAUUCAUCUAUAGCCA
rnacentral:pre_miRNA from 1 species